rnacentral:rRNA from 1 species
UACAGAGGGUGCGAGCGUUGUUCGGAAUUACUGGGCGUAAAGCGCGCGCAGGCGGCUCUUUAAGUCUACCCGUGAAAUGCCGGAGCUCAACUCCGUGCACGCCGGGGGAUACUGGAGAGCUGGAGACAUGUAGAGGCAAGCGGAAUUCUCGGUGUAGCGGUGAAAUGCGUAGAUAUCGAGAGGAACACCUGCGGCGAAGGCGGGUUGCUGGGCUGACACUGACGCUGAACUGCGAAAGCUAGGGGAGCGAACGGG